rnacentral:rRNA from 1 species
GACGAGGGGUGCAAGCGUUAUUCGGAAUUACUGGGCGUAAAGAGCGUGAAGACGGUUUUUUAAGUCAACUGUUAAAUCACCCGGCUUAACCGGGUAUCAGCAGUUGAUACUGGAAGACUAGAGCUUAGAAGAGAGAAGUGGAAUUCUCGGAGUAGCGGUAAAAUGCGUAGAUCUCGAGAGGAACACCAGUGGUGAAGACGGCUUCUUGGUCUAUAGCUGACGUUCAAGCGCGAAAGCGUGGGGAGCAAACAGG